rnacentral:rRNA from 1 species
GAUGAACGCUAGCGAUAGGCUUAACACAUGCAAGUCGAGGGGCAGCACAAGGUAGCUUGCUAUCUGGGUGGCGACCGGCGCACGGGUGCGUAACGCGUAUGCAACUUGCCCUAUACAGGAGGAUAACCCGUCGAAAGACGGACUAAUACUGCGUAUGCUCACAACUUGGCAUCAAGUGGUGAGGAAAGAAAUUCGGUAUAGGAUAGGCAUGCGUCCCAUUAGCUUGUUGGUGAGGUAACGGCUCACCAAGGCAACGAUGGGUAGGGGAACUGAGAGGUUUAUCCCCCACACUGGUACUGAGACACGGACCAGACGCCUACGGGAGGCAGCAGUGAGGAAUAGUGGGCAAUGGGCGCGAGCCUGAACCAGCCAAGUCGCGUGAAGGAUGACUGUCUUAUGGAUUGUAAACUUCUUUUAUACGGGAAUAACAAGAGUCACGUGUGACUCCCUGCAUGUACCGUAUGAAUAAGCAUCGGCUAACUCCGUG